AAAUAAUUUUCUUUUUUGUUUGUCUAUUGCAGGUGCAGCUGCAGAGUACAUUUUGAACAGCAAUCUCCAGGACAUACUCUGAAGACAGUGAUGUGCAAGUUCAAGGUUUGCCUGUUCAGAUACUUUAAUACCUGGUAAUAAGAAUGGAUGAAAAAAUUCUCACAUUAUCAUGCUGCAUAAUAGUACAUUUCAGCUGUAACAAAACACAUUAUCUGAUGAAAGCUUCAACCACGAGAAUGUAGGAAAGGAUGUCAAGUCCAAAGAGAAGGUAUGUUGAUUACUGGUGA